UAAAACUCUUUCUCUAAAUAUUUAAGCUUAAACGACUCCUAAAUCACUAAAUCACUAAAUCUUAAAUCGCUAAAGGUUAUAUGGACUUUCUAUCAAUGACCAUUGAGGAUUGCCCUAAUCGCUAAAGGUUUUGUGAAAGAAGAUCUAUGUAACUCUGUGGGAGAUUGGCCGGCGAUGAAUUUUGGGGUUUUUGAUUGGUGAAUCUAUAAUUGAGGCAUCAAGGAUAUUGGAAGCUAAGAUUAUACAGACACAUUUGACUUUUGCUUACAGGUUGUAUUUCCCCGUCCUCAAGCACUUCACCUUUAUCUUGGUCCAACUUCUUCCUGGUGGAUGAUUUUGAUGCUUUUAAAGAGGGAAUGAUAGGUUCUGGAGACAGAAAGCCUCAACCACAUAAAAGAGCACUUCUUUUUGUUUAAAACUCGGGUUGUGUGGGUAGCAAACUCACUUUUGACACUAAAUGAUGUUACUUCAAUGGAGUUGUCUGAUAUUGUUGCUGAGGCUGCAAAGUGCUUUGGCCUAUAGCACAACUAUAUUCUUCUAGGAGCAGCUAAAGAAGGAGGCUUGCUUGUUGAUGCAAUGAGUAAUAUCCAAGAUGGUUACAAGGAAGAUACACCUUUCAUUUCUCUGAUGGUUAUGAGAAAUGGAUAUGGAAGUCUAUGCAUAACUUAAGGCAAGUGAGCUCAGAGUUAGCUGCUGCAGCCAAAGAUGCGAAUUUGGUAAUUUUGGAAGGGAUGGGUUGGUCAUUGUAUACCAAUUAUAAUGCAAAGUUUAAAUGUGAUGCUCUAAAGGUGUCUAAAAUGAAGAAAGAGAUGAAGAAAAUGAUGAAGACAUUGACCUCACUUGAGAAGAUUUUUGGGUCGUGGAUAAAUGCUCUAAUAUCAAUAGUUUUGUUUUGAAUUUUUUGAAACUUAUCGCGACUUGAACUUGGUAGUAUAUAAAAACUUAACUAAGCACUUGGAAUUGAUUACGUUUUACUUUUGGGUUUAAAUUAUUAGCUUGUUGCAUACUUUAAAUUAGGAGAUUAUUAAUGAAUGAUUUUGUUUUGUGAUGUGUA